AGGAUAAACGCUGGCGGCGUGCCUAAUCAAUGCGAGUCGAACGGGGGUCCUUCGGGGCCCAGUGGCGUCCGGGUGAGUAACGCGUAGCUAACCUACCCAACUGUGGGGGAUACCCGUCAGAAAUGGCGGCUAAUACCGCAUGCGGUGACACUCCGGAGGGGGUGGCAUCAAAGCCGAGAGGUGCAGAUGGAGGGGGCUGCGUCUGAUUAGCUAGUCGGUGGGGUAACGGCCUACCGAGGCAACGAUCAGUAGCUGGU
rnacentral:rRNA from 1 species